CGUCGCAGCGCGGCCACACGCUGCCUCUCCUCCUCCAAUAGGAGCAGCCUCUUCCCGUCCUUGUCCAAUAAGGACGGCUGCAGCAGCUGCUGGCCACACCCAUCCGCCACCAUGGCCGCCUGACUCUGAGGAAACAGGAUCAGGUAAUCACUCAUGGAGUGAUCCAAUUGGACAACACUCACACAGGCCUGGGCUCUGAGGUACUCGCUGUGUUCCCUGCUGUAUUUCUCCUGAAGUCGUGUCUUCAACUCGUCUUUACGAGGAAAAGCCACUUCCUGAAGUUUCUUAAGAGACAAAGACAAAUCCAAAGAAAUCUUUGGAGAGUCUUAAGAUGUCUGAAGACAGUGUGAUGGUCACCUGACAUCGGGGACAGUCCCUGGACAUCCGGCACCAGAUGCCCCGCGACCAUCCCCAGACGCUCAGAUAUCCAGACUCUGGUGCUUUCAGGUUCACGUACCUGUAUGAGGUGCAUAAUGUUCACAGCAGCAUUGUGUCCAUGUGCAUCCUCCAUGUGU